CAAUAAUCUUCCCCACACCAAAUACCCUACCCGCCGCCCAUCAUAGUACUCACCAACCAUCUUCUCUCGAAAGGCUUCGUCUUUACUGUCGUUCGUCCAACCCAUUCUGCCCAAGUCAUUUGGUUGUCGUGCGUCGUGGAGCACAUUUCGGUCAUAUCUCUUUGUCUACAAGCUUCGUUCGCCAUCGUGUCUUCGUUUUGCCAACCGUUCGAUCUUUGCGCAUUUUCACCGUCGCACGCAUUCGUCGACCAUUUCCAUAUGUUUGUCUUAGGUGAACCCGAGAUGUUCAGCUUCGCGAGCCGCAUCCUCCAUUCGUGCAAGCAAGCUGAUUCCUCUCUACUUCAAGCCGCAUGCAUACCUUCGAGCUGUUUCCUUGCAGUGAGCCAAAUUGAGCCAAUUUCCUAUUUUUGGUUAUUAUUUUGGUCACUGAAGACUAGUUCCUCUUAGGAGUCCCUUCAGGAUCACCGAAGACCAUAUGUGUUUCUUGAGAAUCACUAGAUAGCGUGCAUUUGAGAGCAUGAUAGUUAUGAGGUGUUCAGAUCCUGACUGCAAGAGUUCAGGCCCUAGUUGUAGCCCAGAAUGUACAUGAUCAGUUGUCAGCAAAAGCCAAGCACUUUAGGGAUUUCAGGAAGUAUAACCCUUGAACUUUCGAUGGAUCCUUGGACGACCCUACCAAGGCACAAAUGUGGUUGACCUCUAUGGUUAUAUUUCGCUAUAUGAAGUGUCCCAAUGACCCAGAAGGUUCAGUGGGUCGUGUUCAUGUUGAUUGACAGAGGUACGACCUGGUGGGAGUCUACUGAGAGGAUUUUAGGUGGAAAUAUAAACUAGAUCACCUGGGAACAAUUUAAGGAGAAUUUUUAUGCUAAAUUCUUCUCUGCUAUUCUAAGGGAUGCCAAGCGCCAGGAGUUCUUGAGACUGGAGCAAGGCAAUAUGUCUGUAGAGCAGUAUGAUCAGGAGUAUGAUAUGUUAUCACACUUUGCUCUUGAAAUGGGAAAGAUCAAGCCUGACAGAGCCGACAAAUUCGUUGGAGGCCUUAAGUUGGAGCUUCAGGGUUUCGUUCAAGCUUUUAGGCCAGCUACCCAAGCUGAUGCACUACACCUUCUUGCUCGUCCCAAGACAUGGCGUGAUGUUAGCCGAAGUCAUUCGCCUCUUGAACAACCUCAACUAACACAUAACAUGGAAUCGUGAAACAAUUAACAACAUAAGUCUUUUAACUUGAAAUACUUAAAACCGUAGUGUAACCCACUUGAAAUCUUUUAUAAAAUAUAACAUGGAUAAUGAACCAAACAUGAAUAAAUAAGUGUUUGGACAGUUACAUGACUAUUUUGAAACAAACAAUGUUCUUGUACAAUGACAAACUAAGUUGACCUGACAGUAGUAUGUUCAGCAUACAGAGAUCCACAAUUUGUACCUGGAAGGUGAGAAAACAUUUUUUAAAAGGUAAGUCAAGAGACUUAGUGAGCAACGAUUUUAUGUAGCCAUAUAAAGAAAAAAUAUGUCAUGUGCAAGAACCUCUCAACUGUGCCAUGACCUUGUCAUGUGUAUGUAACUUGAUCCAAAAUAACCUCUAUAAAGAAAAAAUAUGCCCAUCUUGCCCACACAUGCCUAACUCACGGCCACUACCCAGUCAGUAUUUAAAUAUAUUCAGAAACAUGACUCAUCUUUGAAAAAUCAUAACAUAAAAUCCACAACUCUUUUGACAAUCCUUAAUUCUACAAAGUUUCUCUAAAAUGAGUUAUCUUUCUUACCUCAGAAUUUCAGAAUCAAAUUCUAAAAGCCGAGUCCUAUAGCCCACUUGGCAUGAACCUUGCUCAAAUUCACCUAAGAAAUGACCUCACCUUCUCUGGAUCAAAACACAAAAUUUCUUGAAUCCAAAAUGCAUAGAAGCCCUUAAUCAAAAACUAAACACAAAUUCUUAACUUUCAAGACUAAUUUGAGUAAUUUUGCACAAAUGAGUUGUGAGAAAUUGAUUGCUUGAAACUAGCCUAUUUAUAGAGUCCCUUACAUGAGAUUAUUGUGACACUUAAUUCGUGAUUAGACUCACCUCUUAACCUGGUAAUUACACCUAAUCACCUCCUCCAUGUCCUACUUGGUCGCAAAAUGCAUGAUGACAUGGUUGUGAUACUUGGAUUUACUUUACUUCGUUUAUUCACAACAUGCCACAUACUUGAUCCAAACGCCUAGCUACACUAAAAAUUUUACCUUUGCCGACGAAACGCAUGUCAACGCCCCUAAAUUUCGUCGGUAGAAGUGGUUUACACCAACAUAUUAUUUUGGCUUUGGCAAUAAGUGGAAUCGUUGAUAGUCUAUUUUAUAGCGUUGUCAUAGAUAGGUUUUGUCGACGACAUAUUUUUGUUCUGUCGGCAUAUUUAGACAUAUGUUGACAAUGUAUUAUCACCGUAUGCUUAAGUAAAAAAAGGCCAAUGAAUUUAAAAUAACCGUUGGUAGUUCGUUUAAAACAAAAAAUUUCCUAGUUCACGAUUUUCCCCCAAAUCUCCUUCUUCUUCUUUCUCUUAUGCUGCCACCCCUUCCCUUCCCCUUCACGGUUUUUGCUCUCUUUUCUUCCUCCCACACACGCCGACCACCCCUUCCCUUUCACCAUUUUCCCUAAUUUUUCUCCUUCCCACAUAGUCACCCACCUUUUCCCUUCCCCUUCACCAUUUUUCCUCAUCCUUCUCCCUCCCACACAGUCGACCACCCCUUCCCUUCCCCAUCGCCAUUUUCCUCACUUUCCCACGCACGAACUGCCCAGGCUUAACUUUUUCUAGACAGUGUGGAUGAUUGUGUGCCUAACAUUUUUUUGGACAGAGUGUGGACGGCUGCCUCCCUCCAUCGCACCCUCUGCCGCCCCCUUUUUUUUCUAGACAGUGUGGACGGUCGCCCCUUCAUUUUUCUCAUUAUCCUUUUUAUUCUAAUUAAGUAAGUUUAACUUAGAUCUAUUUAUUUAUUUUACAUGUUUUAUAUGAAAAAAUAAUAGAUCUGCUAUGAUUUACAUGUUUUUAUAAGGAAAUUAUAGACAAUUAUUUUGAAAUGUAUAAUCCAAACAUACACAUGUUUCUUAUUUCUACGCUCUAUGACACACUUUUGGAGGUGACUUUACCUUCUUUUGCUACCCACAUAACCUAAAUAUCUUAAGACCUAAUUUUGACACUUAGCUAAAUUUUUCCAACUUUUCUCUUAUUCUUAAACCUAAACAUGAGUUGCAAAUUUUUUACUUUAUUUUUUCAUUCUCUUGUCCUUGACCCAUCCUAGCAAAUCCAAAGGUUAAAUAAAUUUUAGGUUUCACAUUUACAAAAGAAGAAAAAUUGGGGAAGAUGAUGAAUAGUGAAAGUGCACGCUUUACGAGAUCCUUGAUACAAUAAAAUAAUAAUAAUAACUAUUACUAUUAUUAACUCAUUUUUACUUUCCCAAAUAUUUUCAUCUACCCUCUUUAAAUUUAAAAACUAAUAAAUCUUAUUCUUUCUCCUCAUUAAAUUCUCUAUCAUCCAAUCAACUUUUUCUCUUUCCCACACUAUAACAAUAUAUUAUUCUUAAUAAUUAUAUUAUCCUCAAUAAUAUAAUUGUUCUUAACCUUUCCCUAUUAACUAUAUAUAUAUACAUACAUAUAUAAUUAAUCAAUAUCCUUAAAACUCGCCAAAUCAAAUUACCAAUUUCAAUAAUUAAUUAAAUAUUCUUCCACUAAAUAGUUAAUUAAUCCUAAUUUUCACAAAAUCAACAAUUACCAUCGAUUAUCUAAAAUAACACCAAAAAAUCCAACAUAAAUAAAUUUCACUAAGAUAAUUAAAUGUAAAAUUAACUUAAUUUUUAGGGUGUUACAUUUAUUGAUUUCAUUAGUUAUAUGCUUGUGUUAAUGAUAUCAUUGUAUUUGUAAGUUUGGGCCUACGAGAUAGUGUUGUCCAUCAGUGGUCGAGUUGUCUAUAGGGAGUUAUCAUCUACGAUACCACGCAUCAUGCAAUGAAGUUGCACAAACUCACCUGGGUUGAAGGUGAUUAGGUCUCAGGUUUUCGAGUCUUAAAUGGUACAUUAUGAUUCAUUUUCUUCCUCCACAUUCAAUAUAGUAUUCUAGGGUUUUGUAUCUUAAUUAACACAAGUUGAUGUUCCAAUUCCAACCCAUAUACAUGAGAUUGAACCUACAGAUGACUAACGUACUUACCUUGAUCGGAGUCUUAAAAUUCCUAGCUACAAGGAAGGCCCGCAUGACCCUCAUCCUCAGCACUUCGAGCAUGCCUCACCACGCAUUCAUGUCGAGCAUCCCCCCUCCUCCUCAUAUCCAGCAUCCCCAUUCUCUUCCUUGGGAUGAUGGUUACCCCUCCACAUCUACGAAGCGGCCUAUUUAGACUGAUAGACUCUGGAUGAUGUGUGAUUGCAGCCAACAUAUACGUCACCUAAAAGGGAGAUUAGAUUAGAUGAAGGACUUUUUAAAACGAAUGGAGUCAUCAGUGUUAUCAAUUAUAAAUGAGCUUUUGAUGGCAUUGAUUAAGGUAAGGUAGUUGACUCCCAACCAUGCUAUGAUGGUGGUGAGAGUACGUCCUUCAAUGCAUCAGAGGCUCAAACUCUGGUUGGCAACGUAUUCAUUAGAUGUUCCUACUUUUAUCAAUGAUGAACAGCCUACUGACAAGGAGACAGGAACAUCCGUUAGUGACAACCCCAAAUAUGGUAUCAUAUCGAUCGACGUACCAUCAAGGGGCGAGGAUGUGCGACCACUACCUCCCCAACCCAUGCUAGAGCCGAAGGAUGAGUCUAUUGAGUUUGAUGUGGAGGUCAUCUCACCUUUAGUUUUUCCAGAUGUCAUACUUAAGGAAAGGACGACAAGGAAGAGAGGUAUACCCUGGAAAUUGUGAUUCUCAAUUAUCGAACAAGGACAAGGGGCUAAGAUAAGAAAGAGGGUGCGCCCCUACAAUCCUGUUUGCAAGAUCCUCAUGAAGUUUGAUAAACAAUUCUCGGCAUACCUCACUGACCCUUGGAGAGAGGAGUUAUAGAAUAGGGUUAGAUGCUCGAGGGCCCUUUUAUGGUUCCUAGACCUUCUAACCCCACAAACAUUCACGGACGACAACGUAUGUAUUUAGGGGUGUAAAUGAGUUGGGUUGGGGGACAUUCUCAACCUAACCCAUACAUUUUGGAUUGGUUGGGUUGGCAACCCGAAUUGUAUUACAAACCUAGCCCAACCUAACCCUUAAAAUAUGGGUUGGGUUGGGUUUUGAGUUUUUGUUUUUUUAAACGACGACUUUCAAAUUUGAUACAUGAUCUUGGGGUCUUAGUUGCACCAAGAUACCUCGAGAUGAAAGAAUUAUAUCUUUAAUUUAUUCAAUCUUGGACAUA